GACGAACGCUGGCGGCGUGCUUAACACAUGCAAGUCGAGCGGUAAGGCCCUUUCGGGGGUACACGAGCGGCGAACGGGUGAGUAACACGUGGGUGACCUGCCCUCAGCUCUGGGAUAAGCCUGGGAAACCGGGUCUAAUACUGGAUAUGACUCCAUGACGCAUGUUGUGGGGUGGAAAGCCUUGUGCGGCUGAGGAUGGGCCCGCGGCCUAUCAGCUUGUUGGUGGGGUGAGGGCCUACCAAGGCGACGACGGGUAGCCGGCCUGAGAGGCGACCGGCCACACUGGGACUGAGACACGGCCCAGACUCCUACGGGAGGCAGCAGUGGGGAAUCUUGCGCAAUGGGCGAAAGCCUGACGCAGCGACGCCGCGUGAGGGAUGACGGCCU
rnacentral:rRNA from 1 species